rnacentral:pre_miRNA from 1 species
UUUCUACUCCCUCCGUCCGAAAAUACUUGUCAUCAAAAUGGAUAAAAAGAGAUGUAUCUAAAACUAAAAUACGUCUAUAUACAUUUCCUUUUAUCCAUUUUGAUGACAAGUAUUUCCGGACGAAGGGAGUAUUUA